rnacentral:sRNA from 1 species
AAGCAAAACUAUUAACCUCACACAUACGUCGUCACGUGUGUUUGGGUGCUCGGUCGCCGGGGCUCCGCUGCAAGCGGUCGCGGGAUCGAGUCAACGCAUGGGACGUAUGGAGGCCUAACC